UACGUAGGUGCGAGCGUAAUCGGAAUUACUGGGCGUAAAGUGUGCGCAGGCGGCGUCGCAAGUCGAGUGUGAAGCCCGAGCUUAACUUGGGAAUUGCGCUCGAAACUACGAUGCUGGAGUGUGGCAGAGGAAGGUGGAAUUCCACGUGUAGCAGUGAAAUGCGUAGAUAUGCGGAGGAACACCGAUGGCGAAGGCAUCCCUGGGCCUCACUGACGCUCAUGCACGAAAGCGUGGGGAGAAAC
rnacentral:rRNA from 1 species